UAGAGAUAGAGAGAUAGCUAUAGGGGAUACAGGUGGUGCAUGGUUGUCGUCAGCUCGUGUCGUGAGAUGUUGGGUUAAGUCCCGCAACGAGCGCAACCCUUGUCGCUAGUUACCAUCAUUAAGUUGGGGACUCUAGCGAGACUGCCUCUGCAAGGAGGAGGAAGGCGGGGAUGACGUCAAAUCAUCAUGCCCCUUAUGACCUGGGCUACACACGUGCUACAAUGGACGGAUCAGAGGGAAGCGAAGCCGCGAGGUGGAGCGAAACCCAAAAACCCGUUCUCAGUUCGGACUGCAGUCUGCAACUCGACUGCACGAAGUUGGAAUCGCUAGUAAUCGCGAAUCAGAAUGUCGCGGUGAAUACGUCCUCGGGCCUUGUACACACCGCCCGUCACACCAUGAGAGUUGGUAACACCCGAAGCCGGUGGCUUAACCGCAAGGAGAGAGCUGUCUAAGGUGGGACUGAUGAUUAGGGUGAAGUCGUAACAAGGUAUCCCUACGGGAACGUGCGGCUGGAUCACCUC
rnacentral:rRNA from 1 species